GCAGUCAUGGCCGAGCGGUUAAGGCGACAGACUCGAAAUCUGUUUCCCUCUGGGAGCACAGGUUCGAAUCCUGUUGGCUGCG
rnacentral:tRNA from 1 species